UCCAAAGCAAUGCGUACACGAAGGGGGUAGAACCUAAUCUCUAAGAGUAGUGAGAGUGUGUGAUAUAGUUUUAAAGAAAUUGAGUUGCUAGAAAUAGUUUAAAAAUGAUCCAUAUAGAAUCAGUUAUUGAAAGAAAAUAGUAGAAGAGUGUGACAAUUUUGUAAGAAGGUGAGUAGAACAAUCGCAGAACUAGAAUAUCACACAUAGUUCAGGAAAGCAAACACAAACUGGGGAAAGGGGAAAUGGGACAAGUAGUUCACAAGUAAGAGCAUAGUUGGACAUACGUAGACA
rnacentral:lncRNA from 1 species